rnacentral:lncRNA from 1 species
ACCAAUUAUCAGGUCUUAAGUUGGUUUGAUCCAGUCGAAGGUCGAACUCAAAUCUCCCGCUCUCGAGACAAGCACACUAUCAAAAAGUUAAACUUUGGACCGUAACCCUUAGCUAACAUAGAUAACUAUCAAAUAAUCGAAGCGAUUUUCAGUUUCCUGCUAAGAGGGGCGUAAAAAAAGGGGGGGGUAUCUGCACGGAAGAACGCGAAAUAAAAUUGCAAUUUCAUGAUGAACGAACAAUUAAAAAUGUCUUUCACGUUGAUCUUUUUACCGAUUUCACGAAACACGGUGAAUAACGAACCUUUUUCACGGCUGCACGUGAAAUAAAAAUGGCAAAACACGUUGCACGAAAAUAACCCUUUACCACCCUCU